AACGAACGCUGGCGGCAUGCCUAACACAUGCAAGUCGAACGAGACCUUCGGGUCUAGUGGCUCACGGGUGCGUAACGCGGGGGAACCUGCCCUUAGGUUCGGAAUAACUCCCCGAAAGGGGUGCUAAUACCGGGUAAUGUCUUCGGACCAAAGGUUUAUCGCCUUUGGAUGGGCCCGCGUUGGAUUAGCUAGUUGGUAGGGUAAAAGCCUACCAAGGCUACGAUCCAUAGCUGGUCUGAGAGGAAGAUCAGCCACACUGGGACUGAGACCCGGCCCAGACUCCUACGGGAGGCAGCAGUGGGGAAUAUUGGACAAUGGGCGAAAGCCUGAUCCAGCAAUGCCGCGUAAGUGAUGAAGGCCUUAGAGAUGUAAAGCACUUUUACCCGGGAUGAUAAUGACAGUACCGGGAGAAUAAGCUCCGGCUAACUCCGUG
rnacentral:rRNA from 1 species